rnacentral:rRNA from 1 species
UACGUAGGGGGCGAGCGUUGUCCGGAAUGAUUGGGCGUAAAGGGCGCGUAGGCGGCCAUGCAAGUCUGGAGUGGAAGUCCAUCUUUCAAGGGUGGAAUUGCUUUGGAAACUGUGUGGCUGGAGUGCAGGAGAGGUUAUCGGAAUUCCCGGUGUAGCGGUGAAAUGCGUAGAGAUCGGGAGGAACAUCAGUGGCGAAGGCGGGUAACUGGACUGCAACUGACGCUGAGGCGCGAAAGUGUGGGGAGCAAACAGGAUUAGAUACC